AAUACGACUCUCGGCAACGGAUAUCUCGGCUCUCGCCACGAUGAAGAAUGUAGCGAAAUGCGAUACUUAGUGUGAAUUGCAGAAUCCCGUGAAUCAUCGAGUCUUUGAACGCAAGUUGCGCCCGAGGCCUCGGCCGAGGGCACGCCUGCUUGGGCGUCGCACU
rnacentral:rRNA from 3 species